UACAGAGGGGGCAAGCGUUGUUCGGAAUUACUGGGCGUAAAGGGCGCGUAGGCGGCCGCCUAAGUCAGACGUGAAAUCCCUCGGCUCAACCGGGGGAACUGCGUCUGAUACUGGGUGGCUUGAAUCCGGGAGAGGGAUGCGGAAUUCCAGGUGUAGCGGUGAAAUGCGUAGAUAUCUGGAGGAACACCGGUGGCGAAGGCGGCAUCCUGGACCGGCAUUGACGCUGAGGCGCGAAAGCCAGGGGAGCAAAGCGGG
rnacentral:rRNA from 1 species